rnacentral:rRNA from 1 species
AGAGCUCAAAUUUUGAAUCUGGCGGUCCUUGCGGCCGUCCGAGUUGUAAUCUAGAGAAGCGUUUUCCGCGCUGGACCGUGUACAAGUCUCCUGGAAGGGAGCGUCGUAGAGGGUGAGAAUCCCGUCUUUGACACGGACUACCAGGGCUAUGUGAUGCGCUCUCGACGAGUCGAGUUGUUUGGGAAUGCAGCUCAAAUCGGGUGGUAAAUUCCAUCUAAAGCUAAAUACAGGCGAGAGACCGAUAGCGAACAAGUACCGUGAGGGAAAGAUGAAAAGAACUUUGGAAAGAGAGUUAAACAGUACGUGAAAUUGCUGAAAGGGAAACGCUUGAUGUCAGUCGCGUCGGCCGGGGAUCAACCUUGCUUGAUUGCUUGGUGUACUUCCUGGUCGACGGGUCAGCAUCAGUUUCGAUCGCCGUACAAGGGCGGAGGGAAUGUGGCACUCUUCGCGGAGUGUGUUAUAGCCUUUCGUCGUAUGCGGUGCUUGGGACUGAGGAACUCAGCACGACCUCUCGGGGUUCGGGGCUUCGGCCUACGUUCACGUGCUUAGGAUGCUGGCAUAAUGGCC